AGAGGAAUGUCAUACUCCUAAAUCAAGACCUUUGACCUUUUUGAAAAGUUUGUCAUCUCUUACUCGCAUAUUGCUUAUUAGAGGGACCAUAGGCUAUCAUUUUUUCUAUCUUUUUUCAGUCUCUCUUUUUUUUCAAGUGGGCACCAAGUACCCCUAAUUCUACUAUCGGACACGUGUCUAUUUUUUCUACUCAGGUGGGUAUCUUUGUACCCCUAAUUCUACUUCAGACACUUGUCCAUUUUUACCUCUCAUCUCACUCUUUUUUUCGAAUCAAAUUUUUGCAUAGUCCCAUGCCUCUAACGCAAUAAUACUUCAGAAGAGUGAAUCUUUUAUAUUUUUAAAACAAAAAGAUCUUGAUCUUUGGAGCAUGAUAAUUCUCUCAACCAAAACUACAAGAAUUAACAAUGGCUUGAACAAAGCAAGUGCCCACAGUUUUAAUAUUUAUAUCUUAUAAGACUCUAGGUAUUAUGUCAAACAGGAUCUCA
rnacentral:lncRNA from 1 species